rnacentral:rRNA from 1 species
AGUGAACGCUGGCGGUAUGCCUAACACAUGCAAGUCGAACGGCAGCACAGUAAGAGCUUGCUCUUACGGGUGGCGAGUGGCGGACGGGUGAGGAAUACAUCGGAAUCUACUUUUUCGUGGGUGAUAACGUAGGGAAACUUACGCUAAUACCGCAUACGACCUACGGGUGAAAGCAGGGGAUCUUCGGACCUUGCGCGAUUGAAUGAGCCGAUGUCGGAUUAGCUAGUUGGCGGGGUAAAGGCCCACCAAGGCGACGAUCCGUAGCUGGUCUGAGAGGAUGACUAGCCACCUUGGAACUGAGACACGGUCCAGACUCCUACGGGAGGCAGCAGUGGGGAAUAUUGGACAAUGGGCGAAAGCCUGAUACAGCCAUACCGCGUGGGUGAAGAAGGCCUUCGGGUUGUAAAGCCCUUUUGUUGGGAAAGAAAAGCAGCAGGUUAAUACCCCGCUGUUCUGACGGUACCCAAAGAAUAAGCACCGGCUAACUUCGUG